UGGGGAAUAUUGCACAAUGGGCGCAAGCCUGAUGCAGCCAUGCCGCGUGUGUGAAGAAGGCCUUCGGGUUGUAAAGCACUUUCAGCGAGGAGGAAGGGUUCAGUGUUAAUAGCACUGUUCAUUGACGUUACUCGCAGAAGAAGCACCGGCUAACUCCGUGCCAGCAGCCGCGGUAAUACGGAGGAUGCAAGCGUUAAUCGGAAUUACUGGGCGUAAAGCGCACGCAGGCGGUUUGUUAAGUCAGAUGUGAAAUCCCGCGCUAACGUGGAACUGCAU
rnacentral:rRNA from 1 species